AUUGAACGCUGGCGGCAGGCCUAACACAUGCAAGUCGAAUGGUAACAGGAAACAGCUUGCUGUUUCGCUGACGAGUGGCGGACGGGUGAGUAAUGUCUGGGAAACUGCCUGAUGGAGGGGAUAACUACUGGAAACGGUAGCUAAUACCGCAUAACGUCGCAAGACCAAAGAGGGGGACCUUCGGGCCUCUUGCCAUCAGAUGCGCCCAGAUGGGAUUAGCUAGUAGGUGGGGUAACGGCUCACCUAGGCGACGAUCCCUAGCUGGUCUGAGAGGAUGACCAGCCACACUGGAACUGAGACACGGUCCAGACUCCUACGGGAGGCAGCAGUGGGGAAUAUUGCACAAUGGGCGCAAGCCUGAUGCAGCCAUGCCGCGUGUAUGAAGAAGGCCUUCGGGUUGUAAAGUACUUUCAGCGGGGAGGAAGGGAGUAAAGUUAAUACCUUUGCUCAUUGACGUUACCCGCAGAAGAAGCACCGGCUAACUCCGUG
rnacentral:rRNA from 1 species